GAGAGAGGAGUGCUGGAGGAGAGGAGUUCAGGAGAGGGAGCCACCCUCGCAGUAUUUUACUGCCCUGCUUGUUCUCGGCAGCAUCGUUUUCUAGAUGUGCCCGUGAUUAAACCCGCCUGUGCAGAGGACGUGAGACAUGGUGAGAUGUCGCUGGCAGAGAUGCAGGAAGAAACUCUACACGGUUAGCAGCAAACCCCGAGAGCAGAUCCGUGACAAGCGUGGCAGCCUUCGUAAUCUCACGCUAACCUUUAAACAUCGGUUAUGUGUUUAUCGAGGAGCCAUAUCUUGACAGCCUGAUUCACCUGCAAACCUUACUUG
ensembl:lncRNA